GACGAACGCUGGCGGCGCGCUUAACACAUGCAAGUCGAACGGAAAGGCCCUGCUUUUGUGGGGUGCUCGAGUGGCGAACGGGUGAGUAACACGUGAGUAACCUGCCCUUGACUUUGGGAUAACUUCAGGAAACUGGGGCUAAUACCGGAUAGGAGCUCCUGCUGCAUGGUGGGGGUUGGAAAGUUUCGGCGGUUGGGGAUGGACUCGCGGCUUAUCAGCUUGUUGGUGGGGUAGUGGCUUACCAAGGCUUUGACGGGUAGCCGGCCUGAGAGGGUGACCGGCCACAUUGGGACUGAGAUACGGCCCAGACUCCUACGGGAGGCAGCAGUGGGGAAUAUUGCACAAUGGGCGGAAGCCUGAUGCAGCAACGCCGCGUGCGGGAUGACGGCCUUUGGGUUGUAAACCGCUUUCGCCUGUGACGAAGCGUGAGUGACGGUAAUGGGUAAAGAAGCACCGGCUAACUACGUG
rnacentral:rRNA from 1 species